rnacentral:rRNA from 1 species
CUACGGGUUGCAGCAGUGGGGAAUCUUGCACAAUGGGGGAAACCCUGAUGCAGCGACGCCGCGUGAGCGAUGAAGCCCUUCGGGGUGUAAAGCUCUUUCAGCAGGAACGAUUAUGACGGUACCUGCAGAAGAAGCUGCGGCUAACUACGUGCCAGCAGCCGCGGUAAUACGUAGGCAGCAAGCGUUGUUCGGAGUUACUGGGCGUAAAGAGUGCGUAGGCGGUUCGGUAAGUUCGGUGUGAAAUCUCCCGGCUCAACUGGGAGGGUGCGCCGGAAACUGCCGUGCUAGAGCAUGGGAGAGGGAAGCGGAAUUCCUGGUGUAGCGGUGAAAUGCGUAGAUAUCAGGAGGAACACCGGUGGUGUAGACGGCUUCCUGGACCAUUGCUGACGCUGAGGCACGAAAGCGUGGGGAGCAAACAGGAUUAGAUACCCGAGUAGUC